rnacentral:rRNA from 1 species
AGCGAACGCUGGCGGCAGGCUUAACACAUGCAAGUCGAGCGGGCACUUUCGGGUGUCAGCGGCGGACGGGUGAGUAACGCGUGGGAACGUGCCCUCUGGUUCGGAAUAACUCAGGGAAACUUGGGCUAAUACCGGAUACGCCCUUUUGGGGAAAGGCUUGCUGCCGGAGGAUCGGCCCGCGUCUGAUUAGCUAGUUGGUGAGGUAACGGCUCACCAAGGCGACGAUCAGUAGCUGGUCUGAGAGGAUGAUCAGCCACACUGGGACUGAGACACGGCCCAGACUCCUACGGGAGGCAGCAGUGGGGAAUAUUGGACAAUGGGCGCAAGCCUGAUCCAGCCAUGCCGCGUGAGUGAUGAAGGCCUUAGGGUUGCAAAGCUCUUUUAUCCGGGACGAUAAUGACGGUACCGGAGGAAUAAGCCCCGGCUAACUUCGUG